rnacentral:rRNA from 1 species
UACGUAGGGUGCAAGCGUUAAUCGGAAUUACUGGGCGUAAAGCGUGCGCAGGCGGCUUUGCAAGACAGAUGUGAAAUCCCCGGGCUAACCUGGGAACUGCAUUUGUGACUGCAUGGCUGGAGUGCGGCAGAGGGGGAUGGAAUUCCGCGUGUAGCAGUGAAAUGCGUAGAUAUGCGGAGGAACACCGAUGGCGAAGGCAAUCCCCCUGGGCCUGCACUGACGCUCAUGCACGAAAGCGUGGGGAGCAAACAGG